CACCUCUCAAAGUCUCACCUGGAGAGUUUCCAGUACUCUACCAGUCUCGGUUAUAGGAGGGAGAGUCAAGCAGAGGCCUAUCCAUUCCAUUCCUAGCUUGGGCAGAGUUUAGCGAGUGGAAAGCAAUCUGAUACAAGU
rfam:Ornithorhynchus anatinus chromosome 3, whole genome shotgun sequence.